GUGAUUUGUCUGGUUAAUUCCGUUAACGAACGAGACCCCCGCCUGCUAAAUAGUGGGGCUUACGUUUCUACGUAGGCACUCGCUUCUUAGAGGGACUUUCGGUGACUAACCGAAGGAAGUUGGGGGCAAUAACAGGUCUGUGAUGCCCUUAGAUGUCCUGGGCCGCACGCGCGCUACACUGAUGCAUGCAACGAGUUCUACAACCCCCUGGACCGAAAGGUCCGGGUAACCUUUGGAAUGUGCAUCGUGAUAGGGAUAGAUCUUUGUAAAUAUUGAUCUUGAACGAGGAAUUCCUAGUAAACGCGAGUCAUCAGCUCGCAUUGAUUACGUCCCUGCCCUUUGUACACACCGCCCGUCGCACCUACCGAUUGAAUGUUUCGGUGAAGAUUCCGGACCGUGAAUGCGGUCGCUUCGCGGCGUCUGCGUUUCGUGGGAAGAUAUCUGAACCUCAACAUUUAGAGGAAGGUGAAGUCGUAACAAGGUUUCC
rnacentral:rRNA from 1 species